GACGAACGCUGGCGGCGUGCUUAACACAUGCAAGUCGAACGGAAAGGCCUGCUUUCCCUUGUGGAUUGCGGGUACUCGACUGGCGAACGGGUGAGUAACACGUGAGUGAUCUGCCCCCAACUUGGGUAUAAGCCUGGGAAACUGGGUCUAAUUCCCGAUAGGACUGCAGGGUGGUGCCUGUGGUGGAAAACGAUUUUCUAGUGGUUGGGGAUGAGCUCGCGGCCUAUCAGCUUGUUGGUGGGGUAAUGGCCUACCAAGGCGGCGACGGGUAGCCGGCCUGAGAGGGUGGACGGCCACAUUGGGACUGAGAUACGGCCCAGACUCCUACGGGAGGCAGCAGUGGGGAAUAUUGCACAAUGGGCGGAAGCCUGAUGCAGCGACGCCGCGUGGGGGAUGACGGCCUUCGGGUUGUAAACUCCUUUCGACCGCGAGGAAGCCACCUGGUUGGAAGGGUGGUGACGGUAGUGGUAGAAGAAGCACCGGCUAACUACGU
rnacentral:rRNA from 1 species